UUGUCGUCUAUGAUGAAUAUAGUCAAUUUUAUCGGUCUGCAAUAGGCAAAUAAAACAUGCAAUUACUUUGGUCACGGACAAAUUAUUUUUAUGGCUAUUGAGACCAUCUUUAAGUAAUAAAUAAAAAAUACGAUUAUCCACGAACAAAGUAAUCAUCUGUUUUAUUUGCCUAUUGUAGACCGAUAAAAGUGACUAUAUAUAUCAUAGACGACAU